GCUUACACAUGCAAGUCGUACGAGAACGCUUUAGCUUGCUAAAGCUAGUAAAGUGGCGCACGGGUGAGUAACGCGUGGGUAAUCUACCCCUGAAUUUGGGAUAACGUUGCGAAAGCGACGCUAAUACCGGAUGAUAUCAUUUUAACCUCGGUUAUUAUGAUCAAAGGUGGCCUCUACAUGUAAGCUUCUGUUUGGGGAUGAGCCCGCGUACCAUUAGCUAGUUGGUAGGGUAACGGCCUACCAAGGCAACGAUGGUUAGCUGGUCUGAGAGGAUGAUCAGCCACACUGGAACUGACACACGGUCCAGACUCCUACGGGAGGCAGCAGUGAGGAAUUUUGCGCAAUGGGGGAAACCCUGACGCAGCAACGCCGCGUGAGUGAUGAAGGCCUUCGGGUCGUAAAGCUCUGUCAAGUGGGAAGAACCUAUAGAAUGGUAAUAUCAUUUUAUACUGACGGUACCACUGAAGGAAGCACCGGCUAACUCCGUGCCAGCAGCCGCGGUAAUACGGGGGGUGCAAGCGUUAUUCGGAAUUAUUGGGCGUAAAGAGCGCGUAGGCGGCCAGAUAAGUCAGAUGUGAAAGCCCGGGGCUCAACCCCGGAAGUGCAUUUGAAACUAUUUGGCUUGAGUAUGGGAGAGGGAAGUGGAAUUCCUGGUGUAGAGGUGAAAUUCGUAGAUAUCAGGAGGAACACCGGUGGCGAAGGUGACUUCCUGGACCAAUACUGACGCUGAGGCGCGAAGGCGUGGGGAGCAAACAGGAUUAGAUACCCUGGUAGUCCACGCAGUAAACGGUGAUCACUAGGUGUAGCGGGUAUUGACCCCUGCUGUGCCGGAGUUAACGCAUUAAGUGAUCCGCCUGGGGAGUACGGUCGCAAGAUUAAAACUCAAAGGAAUUGACGGGGGCCCGCACAAGCGGUGGAGCAUGUGGUUUAAUUCGACGCAACGCGAAGAACCUUACCUGGAUUUGACAUCCUGGGAAUCAUUUUGAAAAUAUGAGUGCCCUUC
rnacentral:rRNA from 1 species